rfam:Triticum aestivum genome assembly, contig: Triticum_aestivum_CS42_TGACv1_scaffold_327870_4BS
GUAGUACUCCCACCAUCCCAAAAUUCUUGUCUUACAUUUGUUUAGAUAUGGAUGUAUCUAACACUAAAAUGUAACUAGAGACAUCCGUAUUUAGACAAAUUUAAGACAAGAAUUUUGGGAUGGAUGGAGUAAAAA